GAAAUGCGAUAAGUAAUGUGAAUUGCAGAAUUCCGUGAAUCAUCGAAUCUUUGAACGCACAUUGCGCCCCUCGGUAUUCCGGGGGGCAUGCCUGUCCGAGCUUCAUUACAACCCUCAAGCGUAGCUUGGUAUUGGGCCUUCGCCCCCCCCUAAAGGAGCGUGCCCGAAAAGCAGUGGCGGUCCGGUGUGGCCUUGAACGUAUUAAACUUUUGACCGUUCUGAAGGUUCUCACGCCGUGGCCAGCCAACGAAACCCUUAUAUUUUGAAGAUUGAACUCGGAUCAGGUAGGGAUACCCGCUGAACUUAA
rnacentral:misc_RNA from 1 species